GGCCAGACUCCUACGGGAGGCAGCAGUGGGGAAUAUUGCACAAUGGGCGCAAGCCUGAUGCAGCGACGCCGCGUGAGUGAAGAAGUAUUUCGGUAUGUAAAGCUCUAUCAGCAGGGAAGAAAAUGACGGUACCUGAGUAAGAAGCCCCGGCUAACUACGUGCCAGCAGCCGCGGUAAUACGUAGGGGGCAAGCGUUAUCCGGAUUUACUGGGUGUAAAGGGAGCGUAGACGGCAGUGCAAGUCUGGAGUGAAAGGCGGGGGCUCAACCCCCGGACUGCUCUGGAAACUGUACGGCUGGAGUGCAGGAGAGGUAAGUGGAAUUCCUAGUGUAGCGGUGAAAUGCGUAGAUAUUAGGAGGAACACCAGUGGCGAAGGCGGCUUACUGGACUGUAACUGACGUUGAGGCUCGAAAGCGUGGGGAGCAAACAGGAUUAGAUACCCCCGUA
rnacentral:rRNA from 1 species